UGGGGAAUCUUGGACAAUGGGCGCAAGCCUGAUCCAGCCAUGCCGCGUGGAUGAUGAAGGCCUUAGGGUUGUAAACCGCUUUUGUCAGGGAAGAAACGCUCUGGGCUAAUACCCUGGGGUAAUGACGGUACCUGAAGAAUAAGCACCGGCUAACUACGUGCCAGCAGCCGCGGUAAUACGUAGGGUGCAAGCGUUAAUCGGAAUUACUGGGCGUAAAGCGUGCGCAGGCGGUUAUGCAAGACAGAUGUGAAAUCCCCGGGCUCAACCUGGGAACUGCAUUUGUGACUGUAUAGCUAGAGUACGGUAGAGGGGGAUGGAAUUCCGCGUGUAGCAGUGAAAUGCGUAGAUAUGCGGAGGAACACCGAUGGCGAAGGCAAUCCCCUGGACCUGUACUGACGCUCAUGCACGAAAGCGUGGGGAGCAAACAGGAUUAGAUACCCAGGUAGUCCCUGAGCGGGCUGGCAAGGCGCAU
rnacentral:rRNA from 1 species